CAUAUACAAAGGUGGAAUGUUUUUUGUAUUUACUACCGAAGCAUCUAGAACAAUCUAGAUAUCUACAAUGUGAUUUAAAAAAAAUAUCUAUGUCAGUAUAUAUAUACAUAUAUGUAUAUGUAAAUAAGUCCAUAUGAAUGUUUCUGUGCACGUUUCGUAACUCUUCCUUCAUUCUUUGAUCUACAAAACCGACAAAUAUUUCAAAUUUAGUUGCGAUUCACUCCCAGUUGAUAACGAUUCAGAUGCCAUUUUACUAUCAUGUUUUCUCGUCGAGUGAUAACAGAUCCGUUAACGGUUGGUCACAUGACUCAUAGCACACAGAAAAACAAGAAUUGUUUAAUAUGAGUUGAUUUGGCGUUUCCUCGCAGGGAAUUUAAUGAAAUUCUAGUUUAUUGUUGAAGGUCAAAUAUAUUUCAGAAUAAUUUAAAACAAGAAAACACGGAAGAAAAGUCUGAAAUAGACGGAAGAUGAUGUCAACUGACGAUGGAAUUUCUGGGUUUGGGAAUCGAACCUAGGAGUGGACAAACUGUGUUAUAACAUUGGUUUGAAAUUUUGGCGCAAGGCGAGCAAUUUCGGGGGAGGUGAUAAGUCGAAUACAUCGACAUCACUGUUCAACCAGUACUGAUUUUACCGACCCCGAAAGUGUUAAAUGCAAAGUCGACCUCGGCAGAGUUUGAACGCCAAACAUAAAGGCUGACGAAACACCGCUAAGCAUUUUCACCGGCGCGCUAACGAUUCUGCCGGCUCGGUGCCUUACAAACUGUUAUAAUAUAUUGAGUUGAUCAGUUAUUGAAUUGCGGCCAUGCUGGGGCAUCGCCUUGAAAGAACGAACCAACCGUAAUAUUUUUUUAAAGCGUGGUACUUAUUCAGCCGUAACCGCUGAGUCACCAAGCAGUACCAGUUGUCAAUCGGUGGUGAAGAAAAACCCAAACACAA